CCUACGGGUGGCAGCAGUAGGGAAUCUUUCACAAUGGGCGAAAGCCUGAUGGAGCAACGUCGCGUGCAGGAUGAAGGCCUUCGGGUUGUAAACUGCUUUUAUAAGCGAGAAAUAUGAUGGUAACUUAUGAAUAAGGAUCGGCUAACUACGUGCCAGCAGCCGCGGUCAUACGUAGGAUCCGAGCAUUAUCCGGAGUGACUGGGUGUAAAGAGUUGCGUAGGUGGCAUAAUAAGUAGCUAGUGAAAUCUGGUGGCUCAACCAUUCGGACUAUUAGCUAAACUGUUAAGCUCGAGACCGUUAGGGGUAACUGGAAUUUCUAGUGUAGGAGUGAAAUCCGUAGAUAUUAGAAGGAACACCAAUAGCGUAGGCAGGUUGCUGGGACGGUUCUGACACUAAGGCACGAAAGCGUAGGGAGCAAACGGGAUUAGAUACCCCUGUAGUC
rnacentral:rRNA from 1 species